GAUGAACGCUAGCUACAGGCUUAACACAUGCAAGUCGAGGGGACACGACAUCGAAAGCUUGCUUUUGAUGGGCGUCGACCGGCGCACGGGUGAGUAACGCGUAUCCAACCUGCCCAUCACUUGGGAAUAACCUUGCGAAAGUAAGACUAAUACCCAAUGAUAUCCCACGAAGGCAUCGGAACGGGAUUAAAGAUUUAUCGGUGAUGGAUGGGGAUGCGUCUGAUUAGCUUGUUGGCGGGGUAACGGCCCACCAAGGCAACGAUCAGUAGGGGUUCUGAGAGGAAGGUCCCCCACAUUGGAACUGAGACACGGUCCAAACUCCUACGGAAGGCAGCAGUGAGGAAUAUUAGGCAAGGAGCGAGAGCCUAAACCAGCCAAGUAGCGGGCAGGAAGACGGGCCUAUGGGUUGUAAACUGCUUUUAUAAGAGAAUAAAGUGGGUCACGUGUGACUUUUUGCAUGUACCUAAUGAAUAAGGACCGGCUAAUUCCGUG
rnacentral:rRNA from 1 species